AGGAGAGACGGGGUUUCACCGUGUUAGCCAGGAUGGUCUCAAUCUCCUGACCUCGUGAUCCGCCCACCUCGGCCUCCCAAAGUGCUGGGAUUACAGGCGUGAGCCACCAUGCCUGGUCCUAUAUUCCUUUUCAUUCCUGUCGAGGGUCACUCCAGAAUUACCACUUUUUUCUGCUUGCGAUUCAUAAAGGUAAGAAGGACAAACUUAGUCUGUUUUGUAGUGGAAUUGUUAUUUUUUUUUAACCUUAUCUUUUAUUUUCCAUGUAAAAUUGCUUUUCCCUCUUUAACUACCUCGCAUAGACAGGGCAGGUAGAGUGAAUGUCAGAUGAAUUAAGGUAGCACUGAACUCCUUAUUUAGCCUGUCAAUAGCUGCAUGAUUGUUUUUGCAUGAAAUCCCAAGUUCGUAUUAGCUGCUCAACUUUCAAACUUUAAUGGGGAAGUCAGUCUUUAUUCUUCAGUAGUGUAUGAUCCGUGAAUUAAGUUUGUAUUAUGCCUUCUGUCCCAAAAUUUCCUCUCUCUUAGCUUCUCCCUAGCCCCAGAGAUCAGUUUCUCUGCAUGUGUCAAACUUCCUUUUCUCUCCUCAUAUUUCAUUCUUCCAGGAUCUGUAAUGUGUCCAAGUUCUCAUAGCUCACUUAAAAAUGGAUGGAGUCCAGAGGGAUCAGUGCCGACUUUUCAUUAAUCUAUUAGAGCUUCACAUUUACUGGCUUGCGCCAAGAGAUGUGGGAGAGGAGGAAAAUGAGUAAGAUCUCACCUCCUGGAAAGGAGGGUGCCACUGCUUUUUCAGUGGUAGAGUUGCUCCCUUAAAGCAGACUCUCUCCCAGCUGAAUUCUGAGCUGAGUGUUACAGAGAUAAGUCAGCUUGAAUCUGGAGGAGUGAGAGAGUUUGGCUAGGGCCCUGUGACAGCUUUGUGGUCAGGAAAGAAUAUGUAAAUUCACUGAAUUCCCAGGCAUUUCAGCCCUAGAGGAGAAGGAUUAGGGGAAUCCAAGAGUCCUGACCUUACUGUGAGACUGAAUUAUAACUAGAGCCCUUUUUAACUAACACAGCUUGAGUUUCAUAUUUGAAAUAACGCUUAAAUCAAAAUAGUCUCCACUCUUCCCAUAUACUGAUGGGAAAUUUAUUAAAUGUUAAAGUCUAAUCUGAAAUCAAAUAUAGCUUUAAAUAAAACUAUGCAACAUCAUUUAGUAGUGUUUAUAACUUGAGUGAUGACUGUCUGGGCUCAAUAACCCAGAUAGGAGAAGGAAUUCCAUGGCCCUCCUUCCCAAUCCAGACCUGUCUGGAAGCAUUUAUUUGUACUAAGUUUUCCAGUCUGAAAGUCUGUGUCAUUGUUUAGACUCUGUGUGAAUAAACAGACAGAGCAAUAAACUUCCUCUUCAGGUGAGGUUUAUAUCUUUUAAACUAGACUGUGGCCUCUAAGCCAUGGCUUUCCUGUAGAGAGGCUGCAUAAUUCAGUUCUGCAGAUGUUUUGGUGAGGCUUUACCAUGUGCCCAACCUGCACUGUGUUCUUUUAGGCAUAAUGAUAAUUGCAAAGAAACAUGGCUCCUAAUGAAGUUGUAGUCAUUUUUGGGAAAAGUGAGUCUGACACACAUUAAUUAAGAUACCUACUUCAGAAAAUCUUAAAAUAUGUAUCAUCGAGGGCUGGGCGCGGUGGCUCACGCCUAUAAUCCCAGCACUUUGGGAGGCCGAGACGGGCAGAUCAGGAGGUCAGGAGAUCGAGACCAUCCUGGCUAACACGGUGAAACCCAGUCUCUACUAAAAAUACAAAAAAAAAUUAGCCAGGCGUGGUGGUGGGUGCCUGUAGUCCCAGCUACUCAGGAGGCUGAAGCAGGAGAAUGGCGUGAACCCGGGAGGCGGAGCUUGCAGUGAGCCAGGAUCACACCACUGCACUACAGCCUGG
rnacentral:lncRNA from 1 species